rnacentral:rRNA from 1 species
UACGUAGGGGGCAAGCGUUGUCCGGAAUCAUUGGGCGUAAAGGGCGCGUAGGCGGAUAAUUAAGUCCGGUGUGAAAGGUGAGGGCUCAACCCUUAGAUUGCACUGGAAACUGGUCAUCUUGAGGGCAGGAGAGGAAAGUGGAAUUCCUAGUGUAGCGGUGAAAUGCGUAGAUAUUAGGAGGAACACCAGUGGCGAAGGCGACUUUCUGGACUGUAACUGACGCUGAGGCGCGAAAGCGUGGGGAGCAAACAGG